AUACGUAGGGUGCGAGCGUUAAUCGGAAUUACUGGGCGUAAAGCGUGCGCAGGCGGUGGUGUAAGACAGGUGUGAAAUGCCCGGGCUCAAACUGGGACCUGCAUUUGUGACUGCAUCGCUAGAGUACGGUAGAGGGGGAUGGAAUUCCGCGUGUAGCAGUGGAAUGCGUAGAUAUACGGAGGAACACCGAUGGCGGAGGCUAGCCCCUGGACCUGUACUGCCGCUCAUGCACUAAAGCGUGGGGAGCAAACAGGAUUAGAUACCCUGGUAGUCCACGCCCUAAAUGAUGUCAACUGGUGGUUGGGGCUUCACUGACUCAGUGACGAAGAUAACGCGUGUAGUUGGCCGCCUGGGGAGUACGGCCGCAAGGGUGUAACUCUCAUGAAUAGGCGGGG
rnacentral:rRNA from 1 species